UGUUAGGUGAGAACAAAAUUGUAUGGAUCUUAACUCACCUGUUCCAGUUUUAGCUGGGAGAGAAUCUAUGUGCCCACUGGUGUCAGAACUGUCAUCUUCUGUUUGAAUGAAGAACCUUACAGUGAGAAAUUUCAAAUGGGAGUGCUACUGACAUCUGCCACAGGACAAUUCUUUGUCAUGUGCAACUGCCCCACUUUGAAGAGUGUUAAUGUCUCUGUUCCCAUAACCAGUAACAGCCU
rnacentral:lncRNA from 1 species